rnacentral:rRNA from 1 species
GAUGAACGCUAGCGGCAGGCUUAACACAUGCAAGUCGAGGGGCAGCAUAAAUAGUAGCAAUACUAUUGGUGGCGACCGGCGGACGGGUGCGUAACGCGUAUACAACCUUCCCUAAACAGGGGGAUAAUCUGGAGAAAUUCGGUCUAAUACCCCAUAACAUCAGAGCAGGCAUCUGUUUUGGUUAAAAUUCCCGGAGGUUUAGGAUGGGUAUGCGUAGCAUUAGCUAGUUGGUGAGGUAACGGCUCACCAAGGCGACGAUGCUUAGGGGGACUGAGAGGUUAACCCCCCACACUGGUACUGAGACACGGACCAGACUCCUACGGGAGGCAGCAAUGAGGAAUAUUGGUCAAUGGGCGGAAGCCUGAACCAGCCAUGCCGCGUGCAGGAUGACGGCUCUAUGAGUUGUAAACUGCUUUUGUACGAGGGUAAAGUGGGCUACGUGUAGCCUUUUGAAAGUAUCGUACGAAUAAGGAUCGGCUAACUCCGUGCCAGCCGCCGCAGUAA